rnacentral:rRNA from 1 species
AAGCUGGAAUCGUACAGACCUAUUAAGCGGCACGAUUAUCACAUUACCUAAUCCGCCUGGGAAGUACGGCCACAUGCCUACAACCCAAGGGAUACGUCGGUGGCAAGCGUCAUCCGAAAUCACUGGGCGUAAAGAGUGUGUAGGUGGUUUGGUAAGUCAGAUGUAAAAUCCACAGGCUCAACUUGUAGCUCGCAUCUGAAACUGCAAGACUUGAGGGCAGAAGAGGUAAGUGGAAUUUAUGGUGUAGCGGUGAUAUGCGUAUAUCUCAUGAGGAACACCAAUGGCGAAGGCUGCUUACUGGGCUGUACCUGACACUGAGACACGAAAGCGUGGGGAGCGAACGGGAUUAGAUACCCCGGUAGUCCACGCCGUAAACGAUGCCUACUAGCUGUCCGAAGUUCGAACCUUCGAGUAGCGAAGCUAACGCGUUACCUAGGCCGCCUGGGGAGUACGAUCGCAAGAUUCAAACUCAAA